CCCUGUAUAAGUAUCCAAUAUCUACCCAGUGUAUGGUCAAGGUGGAACUAAAUAUAUGCCUACACAAGUCCUCACAAGUAUAUAUUGGAAAUAUUAAGUGAGAUUCUCUUCUUUUUUUUUUGUAAAAGAGAAAUAAUCCUACAACCUUUAUUUAGAAUCUCUUUCCUUUUCCAGUUCAUACAAAGAAAAUUGCAUUGUCAUAACUAUUCAUAAAGUAUUCCUGCUUUCAUGUACUCACAACUAUUUACUUAAAUAUUUGAAUAAUUUAAUUAUGUUAUUUGUUGUCUCUUAUGCUUUUUUUAUUUUUUCCACAUGUAACAUUCGUCUAAGUAUAGUCAAAUGUACAUGUAUAUCAGAUUUUCUGAAUUCAUCUUUUAAUUUUUUAUUUCGAAAAUUUCUGCUUUCUUCUCACCUAGACAAAUUGUAGCUUAUUUUCCGACCUGCAACCGUGCUGGAUAAAUCAUUCUACUGGUCAAAAGAGAAAAAAAAUGCUUCUAGGUGUCUUGUUUUAGUUGCAAUCCAAGCCGCCUGUAUGCCUGCAGUGCAUUUUAUUAUCUGGUAAUCUCAUUAAAAUGAUGAUACCUCCUGGUUUUAGAGGUGAGGAGUCAUGGGUUUGCUAAUAAAGAUAUUUUGUUGAUGUGCUAGGGCAAGCUGAUGAG
rnacentral:lncRNA from 1 species